rnacentral:sRNA from 1 species
CUGCAAUAGGUCCCCAACAUUGAUCAUAAGAGCGCCGGGCACAGGCUUCGCAUCUACCCAGUAGCUCUCCCCAUCCUCGUUCGUGUGCUUCACCUGCAGGCCACCGACAUCAUCCUGCGCGAGGAUGGUGAGCACGACGGGGUCCGUGUGCGGGACGACCCCCAUGGUGCGCUCGGGCUCAGGGCACACCGGGUAGUAGUGGCACACCAUCACUCUCCCCUCGAGGCAGGAGGCCUCCUCCAGCGCGUCGGCGGCGAGGCCGAGCCCCUCGCAGAGCAGCGCCAUGACGGCGCGGGACACGGCGGUGGCGUGCGCGUCCCAGCCGACGACCUCGGCGCGGCACGCCGCCGGGAUGCGCCCCGUGUCGGGGCGCGAGGGCCCGAACGUGACCUCGAUGGUGUCGCGCCAGCUCGCGGCGCCGGACCGGUACAGGUCGAAGUUGGAGAAGUAGUCCACCCCGCCGUCCACGGAGCGGCCGUAGUGCGCGGCGCGCUCCGUGGCCGGGAGUUCGUUGAAGGCGCGCGUGGCGGCGAGGAGCCCGUCGGUGAAGCCGGGGGGGACGAGGGCGUGGUGGUUGACGAGGUAGAAGAACCCCCACUCGCGCGCGGCCCCCGCCGCGGCCUCGGCGGCGAGCGGCGCGGGGAGGGAGAGGUCGACGACGGGGAUGGAGACGCCGGGUGGAGCGAGCGGGACGGAGGCGUAGGGGUCGGGGUGGCGGAAGAUGUCCGGGACGGCGGAGACACCGGACUCGACGAGGCCGCGGACGCCGGUGCGUGUCUCGUCGAAGGCCUUGACGAGGGCGGCGCGGCCCGUUGCCGC